CAGCCGCCGCGGUAAUACGAAGGGGGCUAGCGUUGUUCGGAUUUACUGGGCGUAAAGCGUGCGUAGGCGGUUUGUUAAGUCUGUUGUGAAAGCCCUGGGCUCAACCUGGAAAUUGCAGUGGAUACUGGGUCACUAGAGUGUGGUAGAGGAUAGUGGAAUUUCCGGUGUAGCAGUGAAAUGCGUAGAGAUCGGAAGGAACAUCUGUGGCGAAGGCGACUAUCUGGGCCAACACUGACACUGAGGCACGAAAGCGUGGGGAGCAAACAGGAUUAGAGACCCGAGUAGUCCCUGUCUCUUAUAC
rnacentral:rRNA from 1 species